AUGAAAUUACAAGACCAUUCUCCUUUCCUCACGAGGAAAAGGUGUGCAAUGGCUGCAAACAGCAGCCUCCUUGGUAGUGUGUGCAGUCUGUUGCUUGUAUGGGUUGCUCUAAGGGACUUUGGAGACAUUC